AUGGUUUCAAUUAUUGCGUAAUAUCUUGUGGUCAGCGGUUGACAAGCUGGCCAUCCAACAUGGCGGCGAUCGUGGGGACGAUCGCGGCUUAUACGGCUCAUACAGGAAUUGUACUACAUUAAAAUGUACUCCGGUUAGCCUAAAUACAACCUUGGUGAGCCUAAACAGCAUUCCAGUUUCUGUAAAAGUGAUCAGUUUUGGUCCCUGAGAUGUUUUGAAAGAAGGCAAAAGCGAUGCUAAAAUUGUUCCGGGAUUUGUGAUGUUGUGUUGAGACCGACUGGAGAAGCUAUACCAAGAGAAUCGUAGAGAGCUAUUGAGGAACUUCAUAAGUCAAAUGGAUCAAGACUAAAUUUCUUCAGAGUCAUCAACGUUUACUGUGGGCUUACAUUAUUGAGGUUUGUUGCUUGACAAUUUUAACAUCUUGUCCUCCGAUCGAGGCACGCAGGAUUUUCCCCGAACUUCCACUGGUAUCAUAUCGGCGUGAGCGAAACCUCGGUGAUAUCCUUGCACACUCCGCUGAUGCCUCGCCGUCUCCUACUGAUGCCGGUUCAUUGCCCUGCCGACUGCCGCAAUGCCAGGCGUGCAAGCACAUAACUUCUCAGACUCUUUUACAAGGCCCGAAGAGCGCACAUAACAUCCGUGACCACUUCACCUGUCACUCUGAGAAUGUUGUGUAUUUCAUUUGUUGUCGUCGCUGCGAUUGUCUAUACAUCGGUGAGACUGGAAGGCGACUACGGGGACGUUUCAGCGAGUACCUCCGCAGCAUUCGAAACCGAUCGCGUGGGUUUCCCGUAGCUGAACAUUUCAAUUCCGCCUCCCAUUCUCUGGAUGACAUCAUGGUCUGUAGCUUGAAACAGUGCUCUGGUAGUAACAUCAGCCACAAGCAGAUUGAAAUGAAAUUAAUCUUCAAGCUGGACACGCUUCGACUGAACGGACUGAGCAUUAACUUCAAUUUCUUGUGACUGUGAUUCUAGCGCGUAUUACACAUACGCACGCUAAAACAAUGGUUUUCAUAUGCGGCAGCACGCCUUUGUCUACUUUGUACUUCCUACACGCGCGCUGUCCGUGCGUGCGUACGCGUACAGUUUUUUGUAUGGCGUCGCUCAAUCAUACCGCUCAUUCGUGCCCUCACGGGUGGAGGGCACGAGAUUUUUAAUCUUACAAACUUUGUCUCAAGUUGAAGCGGCCUGCUGUAGCCAGCAAAAGCAGCAACAGAGAAAAAGGUUACGGUGGAGUUUUCUUACCUCUGUACGAGUGUGGUAAGUUAAUUACGCACAGCGAUGAGCGAAGAUCGAUUGACCAGCAGUCGUGUGAGACAAAGUUUCUAAGAUCAAAAAUCUCGUGCCCCUCCACCCGUUUGGUGAUAAUUGACCACGUUCCCAGUCUCGGCCGAGCGGUGACGACUGCAAACUGAUCAACUUAACGUCGUCAAGCAUCAAUUUCCGCUAUUUUGGCCGUCAUAUUGCAAGUUUUUGGCCAGCUAACACGGUUAGAACUGAAUGCGUGAUUCAUUGGAUUGCAGAGAGAGAAACUACAGGCCUUACUUUGUGAGUUCAGCAAGAAAUAUUGUGAGUAAAUGCUCUUUUUGUGUGCAAAUUUGACUCGCUUCCGAAGAGUGUUUUGUCGUCAAACUGGCCGAAGUUUUCUACUUUGUCUCUUAUUAUAACACCGUAGGAUAAAUAAAUCAAAAUUCUCUCAAAUUUCGUUUAAACUCUCCAGGAUAAGAAAAAAUGACACCAUUGAA
rnacentral:lncRNA from 1 species